AAAUUCCAAAAGUCCUGUAGCGUACUAUGUGCAACAUUGUCUACUUGGUGUCUCACACAUUCUACCUAAAGGUUUUCUAUUCAGCGUCGAGUGUGAGGUAACCGCUGGAACGCAAGCUGAUAGAUUACAGUUACAGUAAAGAAAGUCCAAGAAUAUUGAAAAAACUACAUAAUUAUAUACAUUACACACAAUGCCUGAGACGUCCAUACAGACGGACUGUGUGCUGAACUUGGACUUGGCCCUUAAUCAGGCCUGUUGCUGAAUAGCCCUGUGGGUACCCUCAUAAUGUUGAAAACUCAAUGAGGUUAUGAUAAAGGCAGUUGUAAGAAUAGCCUGCCACUCACCCCAAUUUGUAGCUGGAUGAAUGUACAGAAGCUAAAUACAUGACUAACCAAUGUAUGGUACAGUGUACAUGCACAUUGGACCAAGUUGUUCAUCAACACAAUCAGGCUUUUGUGGAUUUAUACCGGUACUUCGGGAAGCGCUUUUUCAAAGGGAAAUAAAAUCUGAUAUCAAUUCAUUACCGAAUGGUCUUGCCCCUUCAGGUUUUUUUCUGUGACUCAUUUUAUGUAGACUGGUCUAGUAUUAACCUUUUCGACUCUCACACUGAAUUUAUGGUGAAGCUAGUUUAUGUACAUACAUGCACAUGUACAUGGUAUUAGGCCUAACUCCCCAAUCCACGUACAUGUAUAUGUACAUGUAUACACACUUGUAGCUAUCCAGGGAACCUUCAUUGGACUUUCAAUUUUUUAAUCCUCCCUGCUGAUUUUACACUGGAUAGGAAUUUAUAUUGCAGUAUUAUAGCCAUUCAGGGUUAUUAACAUGUAGGCCUACAGUGUACGUGGACCUUACAAAAAUCCAAUUACUCCCAGAAAUAUUGUGAGAUAUUUACCCUCACGGUGGUUAGCCGUCAGAAAGUGAUAACAUUUCCAACCAACAUGUCAAGUCGAAUUUAGCAAGGAAAAUGUUGAAAAAAAAAAUGAAAAAAAAUUACCACUACUGGCUACCACUGCUAAAUUUGUUGGUAACCAUGUUUGGCAUCGGUCAAUGAUCAGGAGUUAAUUGCUGUUGUAAACGAAUGGCCCAAAUCGAAACCAAAAUUGCACAGACUUCUACAAACUGGAAAUCGGCCAAAGUAAUACAUCGGUGGUUUGAUGGGGUGAGUGAUCCAUACACGCAAAAGGGAUUUCAUAGAAAGCAUUUUUGAAGAGUCUCCACUUUUUUGAUUGACUGUUGUGGGGCUAAGGAUACAGAGGGAUUCCAGUAGACUGGCCCAAGUCUGGGGCUAGCGUAGUCUAUUUAAUCACUGCAAAGGUAAUGAGGAAUUUGCCAGGACUGGUUAGUACACAGAGAAAUGUUUUAUUCCUCCAUGGUUAGCAGUCCGAGUAACUUGGACCCUACAAAUCGCUUUUUUUAAACAUUGGGACAUGGUCUGGCAAUAAUAUCACCCGAUUGAUAUGUCUAAAUAAUUAUCACCCGACCAUGUCCAAACAUUUAGGGCCAAUUGCCCCAUCAUGCUCAUGUCAACUGCAUGUCCAAAUGUUUAAAAAGGCAAUUUGUAGUGUCCACGUUACUCGGACUACAUGUACGUGGUUAGUGCCAUAGUGGUAGUCAGUGGUAGUACUGGUACUAUAUGAACUAUUGUUCCCCAUGUUCAUAAUGUUGCAUCCAUCCCCUGAUCACAUUGCAAGCAUUGGCACAUUUUCUUGCCCAUAGGACUGGGGUGAAGUUAGGGGCCCUAGCCCUACUCUACAUGUAUACCAUGACUCUUUCCUCUAAUCCCCUCUAUACUUGCCAUGGCCUCAACAGUCACACAGCCACGCCAUGAUUUAGGAUAACAUCUGACCAUCAGGAUACAUAAUUGUAAUGUAACUUCUGUAAGUGAAUGGGGUUGAAAUAAGCCGUCUGCCUACUGUGCUCGCGUCAUUUGCGUGUU